rnacentral:rRNA from 1 species
UACAGAGGGUGCAAGCGUUAAUCGGAGUUACUGGGCGUAAAGGGCGCGUAGGCGGUUAUUUAAGUUUGAUGUGAAAUCCCUGGGCUUAACCUAGGAACUGCAUUGAAAACUGGAUGACUGGAGUACUGUAGAGGGUAGUGGAAUUUCCGGUGUAGCGGUGAAAUGCGUAGAGAUCGGAAGGAACACCAGUGGCGAAGGCGGCUACCUGGACAGAUACUGACGCUGAGGCGCGAGAGCGUGGGGAGCAAACAGG